AUUGAACGCUGGCGGCAGGCCUAACACAUGCAAGUCGAACGCGUGGCGGACGGGUGAGUUAUGUCUGGGAAACUGCCUGAUGGAGGGGGAUAACUACUGGAAACUGUAUCUAAUACCGCAUACCCUCAGAUGUGCCCAUAUGGGAUUAGCUAGUUGGGGGGGGAACGGCUCCACAAGGCGACGAUCCCUAGCUGGUCUGAGAGGAUGACCAGCAACACUGGAACUUGGACACGGUCCAGACUCCUACGGGAGGCAGCAGUGGGGAAUAUUGCACAAUGGGCGCAAGCCGGAUGCAGCCAUGCCGCGUGUGUGAAGAAGGCCUUCGGGUUGUAAAGUACUUUCAGCGGGGAGGCGUUACCCGCAGAAGAAGCACCGGCUAACUCCGUGCCAGCCGCCGCGGUAAUUC
rnacentral:rRNA from 1 species